UGGGGAAUAUUGCACAAUGGGCGCAAGCCUGAUGCAGCCAUGCCGCGUGUAUGAAGAAGGCCUUCGGGUUGUAAAGUACUUUUAGCGGGGAGGAAGGGAGUAAAGUUAAUACCUUUGCUCAUUGACGUUACCCGCAGAAGAAGCACCGGCUAACUCCGUGCCAGCAGCCGCGGUAAUACGGAGGGUGCAAGCGUUAAUCGGAAUUACUGGGCGUAAAGCGCACGCAGGCGGUUUGUUAAGUCAGAUGUGAAAUCCCCGGGCUCAACCUGGGAACUGCAUCUGAUACUGGCAAGCUUGAGUCUCGUAGAGGGGGGUAGAAUUCCAGGUGUAGCGGUGAAAUGCGUAGAGAUCUGGAGGAAUACCGGUGGCGAAGGCGGCCCCCUGGACGAAGACUGACGCUCAGGUGCGAAAGCGUGGGGAGCAAACAGG
rnacentral:rRNA from 1 species